UUCUGGCUUGUUCUGUUCACAGGCUUUCCUUGCGUGGCUUCCAAGAAAGCCCUCGGGCAAAGACGUGCAGGCAGUGGCUGUUGGAAGUCAGCCAGCAGCGCUGAACGUGGCAGCUCCCAGAGGCACAGAAGGGCCUUGUCUGAUGCUGAUGUUCUGUGAAAUUGUUUGUGUUCAGCAGGAGAACAUCAAAGGUCAACUGUGAGUGCCAGGUCAGCUCUCAGAAUGUCACCUCCCGGAAGUCUGCCCUUGGAAAGUCCCUCCAGUGCCCAAGGAAUGUCACAAUCUCUCUUCCAAAUGGGUCCCAGGCUUCCUCAGGGGUAACUAAAGCCCUCUUGCUUUAGUGAUAGGCCUCACCCAGGUCCAUUCUCGCGCUCACCCCAUCUUGCCUUUAAUUUGACUUUCCGGCUCUCAAAAGUGUGAGCAGGAGGUGGAAGAUACCUCUGAUUUUCUUUGGGAUCAAGGACACCUCAUCUUCAGCGGGUAGGAACCUCUCUUUGAGGGAAGCUCUGCCUGCCCCCUGGUGGCAGCAGGAGGAAGUGCCACCCCUCCCCUGUUACCGGGAAGAUGUAGCUCUUUUGGCAUCUAUCUGCUUUAAAAAAAAGUG